AGCGAACGCUGGCGGCAGGCUUAACACAUGCAAGUCGAGCGGGCGUAGCAAUACGUCAGCGGCAGACGGGUGAGUAACGCGUGGGAACGUACCUUUUGGUUCGGAACAACCCAGGGAAACUUGGGCUAAUACCGGAUAAGCCCUUACGGGGAAAGAUUUAUCGCCGAAAGAUCGGCCCGCGUCUGAUUAGCUAGUUGGUGUGGUAACGGCGCACCAAGGCGACGAUCAGUAGCUGGUCNGAGAGGAUGAUCAGCCACAUUGGGACUGAGACACGGCCCAAACUCCUACGGGAGGCAGCAGUGGGGAAUAUUGGACAAUGGGCGCAAGCCUGAUCCAGCCAUGCCGCGUGAGUGAUGAAGGCCCUAGGGUUGUAAGCUCUUUGUGCGGGAAGAUAAUGACGGUACCGCAAGAAUAAGCCCCGGCUAACUUCGUGCCAGCAGCC
rnacentral:rRNA from 1 species